GGAAACCAGCUUAUUAAAGGGAACCAUGGAAACAGGAAACAUUUUCAAAAGGAAAUGGAUCUUUUGGUGCAGUGGAGGCAUGAUAUCUAGUUUUUGUGAGGGCAGCAUCCAUCUACAUCAACUCUGUGCCCUGAAGAGAAUGGAAAGAAGAGGAAAAAAAAGCAGUGGGAGACAAGUUUAUGUGAAGGGGCAGUGUAUUAUAAAACUACCUACAUCAAACGAUCUCCAGAAAGUUAAAAUGAUGCCAAUGGAAAGCAGCUGUAGCCGAGAUUCUUAUCCAAGAUAA
rnacentral:lncRNA from 1 species